UCUUCCUCCUCCUUUUCCUUCUUCUCAUCAUCAUCAUCAUCAUCAUCAUCAUCAUCAUCAUCAUCAUAGGAGGAGAAGGAGGAGAAGGAGGAGAAGGAG
ensembl:miRNA Gm24541 predicted gene, 24541